GAUGAACGCUGGCGGCGUGCCUAAUACAUGCAAGUCGAGCGAACGGACGAGAAGCUUGCUUCUCUGAUGUUAGCGGCGGACGGGUGAGUAACACGUGGAUAACCUACCUAUAAGACUGGGAUAACUUCGGGAAACCGGAGCUAAUACCGGAUAAUAUUUUGAACCGCAUGGUUCAAAAGUGAAAGACGGUCUUGCUGUCACUUAUAGAUGGAUCCGCGCUGCAUUAGCUAGUUGGUAAGGUAACGGCUUACCAAGGCAACGAUGCAUAGCCGACCUGAGAGGGUGAUCGGCCACACUGGAACUGAGACACGGUCCAGACUCCUUCGGGAGGCAGCAGUAGGGAAUCUUCCGCAAUGGGCGAAAGCCUGACGGAGCAACGCCGCGUGAGUGAUGAAGGUUUUCGGAUCGUAAAACUCUGUUAUUAGGGAAGAACAUAUGUGUAAGUAACUGUGCACAUCUUGACGGUACCUAAUCAGAAAGCCACGGCUAACUACGUG
rnacentral:rRNA from 1 species